UGCCAGCCAGACACUUGUCAGAAAUUCAAAGGGAUCUUGGAUGAGGAAUCCUUAUUCACAACAACGAACUUGCAAAAUAUACAGAGAAACCUGCUAAGAAAUGUAAGCCAAAAUAGAGAAAACAGUCACUGCAAAGAUAAGCGGCCCAGGACCUUCCUUCACCCUCAGUGGCUGAAGGCGAUGGGUCCCCUUUAGUCAAGUGCAGAAGUGGGCACUCUCCUGAAUGCUGCUAAGACGUUUGUAUUUCAAAUACACAAUAUCAAGGGAUUUUAGGUCAGUCUUAAGGACUGGGCUAGUUAUGGUUCAGUUGGGAAGUUCUAUAUAUUUCAUGUAAAUCCUCAUUGUGAUGAUGAAACCACAUGCAUCACAAUGCCCUUUUAGCAAACACAGAUCCAAAACACCCGGAGCUUGGAGGCCAGCAGGAAGUCACACAUGCUCCAACUAGCAUCCAGCGUGUUCAAAGCACCAAGUGAAGAGACUCCUUGUUCCAGAGCCCAGGACUGUAUGACAUAGAAGAGGAAUAAGGAGAGCUGGAGUAGAAGGACAAGAGAAAAGCGAUCAAUUGGUGCAACUCAUCUCAAAAACCCAACAAACGUCAGUAACUUUCUGCCUAUGUUCUGCUCUGACUCUGCCACAGCUCCACCUUGGUUCUGUUCAUGGGAGUUCUGCUCAUGACAAUGGUACCUACUGGUAAAACAAAAAAUUUAGAGUACAGGUUAACACACAGCCUGCGGUGACAGCAAACAACGACUGGACAGUACGGGAACCUGAAGUUCAUUAUGGGUAAACACGCUUUUUCUGUGCACGUGAAAGGAAUAUUUGACAGUGUAACAGGACACAGCGCGUGCUAGGGUGCAAAAGAACAUGUGACUCACACCCGCUAGCACACCGGGAUGUUGGGAAGAUCAAGUAAUGGGUGAAAAGUGCUCUGAAGUCAGAGAGAGCUAAGUGUUGAGGAUUAUAUUCUGUUUCAGCACUUCGCUGCAACUGCUGCUCCCGUGCACCAAGCGCAAUAUAAGCACAAUUUGCCUAUAGAAGGGUAAAUGGCAUGCAGGUAAGCAAAAUUCAGAAAUUAAUCCCCGUCUUGCUAUCUGCAGAAUACUUGAAGUCAUCAGACAACAGCGAAUACUUACAAUCGAUUCAUGCUAAACACAAUGAGCAUGUGAGAAUGUCCCAAAAUACUGGCAAACAUCUCAAAAGGCAACAACUUUUCUUUAAAAUACUGGGGUCAAGUCAGCAGCCAUGCACUGCACUUAAGCAUGGAACACGAAAGGAACCUGAUAUUCUUGCACAGAGGUGACCUGAAGGAAGCUGUGCUCUGAUUUUGCUCUUGUUUGGAUUCAUAUUCCAAUGCUAAAACGCCAAGUAUUAAGGCAACAGGAAUAUUAUGCUAUCAUGUUAUUUACCUGUGGUGGGAGGGAGAUAAGAGUUUUAACGGAGCUGAAGCAAGUAAAAAAACUCUACUUCAAAGGAAAAACUAAUUAUGUGUCUUACUAAUUACAUUUUAAAAAGAUACACAGGGCAUUACCGACGAAUCCUGCAAAACUGAAAACACAACUGUGUCUCAGGCUGCCUCGGCUUGGAAAAGAGCUCCUGAGAAUUACCAAGGGAUUCCUGCUUCCCGCAAACACAGCGCCACUAAUAUUCUCCAGAUUUGCUGGCCCUGCUACGAACCAUCUCAAGAAAAUGUUUACAUUAAAGUCGGGUUCAGCGAGGAGGUCAGCUAACUUUAAGACUUUAAGAAAUCAGCAGCCGUCUUGUCUCCCCAGCAGUGCUGGGGGAUGGGAAUUUUCCUUCUUUCUUUCUUUUUUUUUUUUUAAUUUUUUGAAGAAAAUCGUUAACUUGCUGCGUGGCCAAAAUUGCAGUUUUUCACUCCGUUUUUCUUUGCUGUCAGUGAUGUGAAACUUCUGUUUUGUUGUUGUCUUUUUCUGUCUGUUGUGAAGCAUCCACCAAUAAAUUGUCAGAACGUC